UGUUUUGAAAGCACAGAAGAAACGAUGUGCAUAUGCGAGACUGCGUUCGAAGUGUCCAUUCUGGCCGCCGUCUGCCUCGAGGAGUCGCCGAGUACGUCCUCUUUGUCUACCUUGGCGGCUCUGCGGCGAUCGCUUUGGUGCUGCUGUUGGGUGCCAUGAGCGGCAACAAGAAAAUGGUUGACAUCUUCGUGUGUUUCGCGAAGGUACGACUGGUGCUGUACUGCGUCUUGGCUGGUUUCCUGGCU